rnacentral:rRNA from 1 species
GAUGAACGCUGGCGGCGUGCCUAAUACAUGCAAGUCGAGCGAACAGACGAGGAGCUUGCUCCUCUGACGUUAGCGGCGGACGGGUGAGUAACACGUGGAUAACCUACCUAUAAGACUGGGAUAACUUCGGGAAACCGGAGCUAAUACCGGAUAAUAUAUUGAACCGCAUGGUUCAAUAGUGAAAGACGGUUUUGCUGUCACUUAUAGAUGGAUCCGCGCCGCAUUAGCUAGUUGGUAAGGUAACGGCUUACCAAGGCAACGAUGCGUAGCCGACCUGAGAGGGUGAGCGGCCACACUGGAACUGACACGCGGCCAAGCCCCCGAGGGGAGGCAGAAGGGGGGAUUUUUCAGCAAGGGGCGAAGGCCGGAGGGCGCAGCGCGGCGGGAGUGAUGAAGGUCUUGGUAUCUUAAAACUUUUUUAUGAGGAAAAAAAAAAUUUGAAAGUAAAUAUGCGCGCCCGGAGGGUACUAAUAAAGAAAGCCCCGCAUAACUACGU